GACGAACGCUGGCGGCGUGCUUAACACAUGCAAGUCGAACGGAAAGGCCCCUUUGGGGGUACUCGAGUGGCGAACGGGUGAGUAACACGUGAGUAACCUGCCCUUGACUUCGGGAUAACUUCAGGAAACUGGGGCUAAUACCGGAUAGGAAUCCUUGCUGCAUGGUGGGGGUUGGAAAGCUUCGGCGGUUUUGGAUGGACUCGCGGCUUAUCAGCUUGUUGGUGGGGUAGUGGCUUACCAAGGCUUUGACGGGUAGCCGGCCUGAGAGCGCGACCGGCCACAUUGGGACUGAGAUACGGCCCAGACUCCUACGGGAGGCAGCAGUGGGGAAUAUUGCACAAUGGGCGGAAGCCUGAUGCAGCAACGCCGCGUGCGGGAUGACGGCCCUCGGGUUGUAAACCGCUUUCAGCAGGGGCGAAGCUUGUGGUGACGGUACCUGCAGAAGAAGCACCGGCUAACUACGUG
rnacentral:rRNA from 1 species